UACGUAGGGGGCGAGCGUUGUUCGGAAUCACUGGGCGUAAAGGGCGCGUAGGCGGCUUUUCAAGUCGGGGGUGAAAGCCUGUGGCUCAACCACAGAAUUGCCUUCGAUACUGUUAGGCUUGAGUCCGAUAGAGGUGGGUGGAAUUCCUAGUGUAGAGGUGAAAUUCGUAGAUAUUAGGAAGAACACCGGUGGCGAAGGCGGGUCUCUGGGCAGUAACUGACGCUGAGGAGCGAAAGCGUGGGGAGCGAACAGG
rnacentral:rRNA from 1 species